GGUCCCGUCGUCUAGCGGUUAGGACAUCUGGUUCUCAUCCAGAAGAUCGCGGGUUCGAGUCCCGCCGGGAUCACCA
rnacentral:tRNA from 1 species